CUUCAUCAUCAUUAUC
rnacentral:sRNA from 1 species